rnacentral:rRNA from 1 species
GCUAUACAUGCAAGUCGAGCGAACGGACGAGAGUGCUUGCACUCUCUGAUGUUAGCGGCGGACGGGUGAGUAACACGUGGGUAACCUACCUAUAAGACUGGGAUAACUUCGGGAAACCGGAGCUAAUACCGGAUAAUAUUUAGCUUCGCAUGAAGCAAUAGUGAAAGACGGUUCUGCUGUCACUUAUAGAUGGACCCGCGGUGUAUUAGCUAGUUGGUGAGGUAACGGCUCACCAAGGCAACGAUACAUAGCCGACCUGAGAGGGUGAUCGGCCACACUGGGACUGAGACACGGCCCAGACUCCUACGGGAGGCAGCAGUAGGGAAUCUUCCGCAAUGGACGAAAGUCUGACGGAGCAACGCCGCGUGAGUGAAGAAGGUUUUCGGAUCGUAAAACUCUGUUGUAAGGGAAGAACAAGUACGUUAGUAACUGAACGUACCUUGACGGUACCUUACCAGAAAGCCACGGCUAACUACGUGCCAGCAGCCGCGGUAAUACGUAGGUGGCAAGCGUUAUCCGGAAUUAUUGGGCGUAAAGCGCGCGUAGGCGGUCUCUUAAGUCUGAUGUGAAAGCCCCCGGCUCAACCGGGGAGGGUCAUUGGAAACUGGGAGACUUGAGUGCAGAAGAGGAGAGUGGAAUUCCAUGUGUAGCGGUGAAAUGCGCAGAGAUAUGGAGGAACACCAGUGGCGAAGGCGGCUCUCUGGUCUGUAACUGACGCUGAGGUGCGAAAGCGUGGGGAUCAAACAGGAUUAGAUACCCUGGUAGUCCACGCCGUAAACGAUGAGUGCUAAGUGUUGGGGGGGUUUCCGCCCCUCAGUGCUGCAGCUAACGCAUUAAGCACUCCGCCUGGGGAGUACGGUCGCAAGACUGAA